GAUGAACGCUGGCGGCGUGCCUAAUACAUGCAAGUCGAGCGAACAGACGAGGAGCUUGCUCCUCUGACGUUAGCGGCGGACGGGUGAGUAACACGUGGAUACCUACCUAUAAGACUGGGAUAACUUCGGGAAACCGGAGCUAAUACCGGAUAAUAUAUUUAACCGCAUGGUUCAAUAGGGAAAGACGGUUUUGCUGUCACUUAUAGAUGGAUCCGCGCCGCAUUAGCUAGUUGGUAAGGUAACGGCUUACCAAGGCAACGAUGCGUAGCCGACCUGAGAGGGAGAUCGGCCACACUGGAACUGAGACACGGUCCAGACUCCUACGGGAGGCAGCAGUAGGGAAUCUUCCGCAAUGGGCGAAAGCCUGACGGAGCAACGCCGCGUGAGUGAUGAAGGUCUUCGGAUCGUAAAACUCUGUUAUUAGGGAAGAACAAAUGUGUAAGUAACUAUGCACGUCUUGACGGUACCUAAUCAGAAAGCCACGGCUAACUACGUG
rnacentral:rRNA from 1 species